UUCCUAGGGUUUAUUGUGUGAGCACACCAUAUAUUUACAGUAGGAAUGGACGUAGACACACGAGCUUAUUUCACCUCCGCUACCAUAAUCAUCGCUAUCCCCACCGGCGUCAAAGUAUUUAGCUGACUCGCUACACUCCACGGAAGCAAUAUGAAGUGAUCUGCUGCAGUGCUCUGAGCCCUGGGAUUCAUUUUUCUCUUCAC
rnacentral:lncRNA from 1 species